AGUGAACGCUGGCGGUAGGCCUAACACAUGCAAGUCGAACGGCAGCACAGUAAGAGCUUGCUCUUACGGGUGGCGAGUGGCGGACGGGUGAGGAAUACAUCGGAAUCUACUUUUUCGUGGGGGAUAACGUAGGGAAACUUACGCUAAUACCGCAUACGACCUACGGGUGAAAGCAGGGGAUCUUCGGACCUUGCGCGAUUGAAUGAGCCGAUGUCGGAUUAGCUAGUUGGCGGGGUAAAGGCCCACCAAGGCAACGAUCCGUAGCUGGUCUGAGAGGAUGAUCAGCCACACUGGAACUGAGACACGGUCCAGACUCCUACAGGAGGCAGCAGUGGGGAAUAUUGGACAAUGGGCGCAAGCCUGAUCCAGCCAUACCGCGUGGGUGAAGAAGGCCUUCGGGUUGUAAAGCCCUUUUGUUGGGAAAGAAAAGCAGCAGGUUAAUACCCCGCUGUUCUGACGGUACCCAAAGAAUAAGCACCGGCUAACUUCGUG
rnacentral:rRNA from 1 species